rnacentral:misc_RNA from 1 species
AUAAUUUGCCGAACCUAGCGUUAGCGAGGUUCUGUGAUCACAUAUUUAAAACCCAACUCUUAAAUGUAUAAUUAUGUAUUUUUUUAAUAAAAAAAUUAGA